GACUUAGGAGAUGUAGAUUCAAUUCCUGGGUGAGGGAGAUCCCCUGGAGGAAGGUAUGGCAACCCACUCCAGUAUUCUUGCCUGGAAAAUCCCAUGGACAGAGGAGCCUAGUGGGCUACAACCCAUAGCAUCACAAAGAGUCAGAUGUGACUGAAGCGACCUAGCACGCAGGCAUGGGAAUACAGGGAGACCAAGGCAGCCAGAGUACACAGAACAGAGUUCCAGAGAAGAGAGAGUAGUGGGCGAGAUUUUUUCUUAAAAUCAUUCAGAGAAUGUGGUCCUCACUUCAUUCAAGUUCCCCUCAGGGUGACUCCAGCAACAGAACCAUAAUUUUGGAUUUUCAAUGUGAACACAAAGCCUUACAAAGGCACAUGAAAAAAAAAAUGAUCAAGCAAUUCUGCUUCUAGGAAUUUUCUCAAAGAACAUAGUUAUUAGUAUUAUUAAUAAUAAUGAUAAUAUGAAACAACAUAAGUGUCCAAUAACAGUGAAUUAUUUAAAUAAACUGUGUAAUAGUUGGACAGUGGAGUACUAGGCAGUCAUUUAAACUGAUUAUUGGACAAAAUCUUAAUGAUGUAGAAAGAUGCUUAAGAUGUGUGAGUAAGUUUUAAAAUAAGGCUUCAAUACAAUGUGACUAUAACCAUUUUUUAAAAACUGUAUCUAGACAUAGGGAAACCCACCUAUAUGUCUCUCUAUAGGAG
ensembl:lncRNA